rnacentral:rRNA from 1 species
CCUACGCAACGUUCAUCGGCGUAGGUGAGUCGGCCCUAAGGCGAGGCAGAAUGCGUAGUCGAUGGGAAACGAGGUUAAUAUUCCUGUACCGAUUUGGAAUGCGAUGGGGGACGGAGAAGGGUAGGUCAGCCAACUGUUGGGAAUAGUUGGUUUAAGCGUGUAGGCGUGUUCUGUAGGCAAAUCCGCAGAAAUUAGCUGAGGCGUGAUGACGAGGUGCCACGUGCACUGAAGUGAUUGAUCCCAUGCUUCCAGGAAAAGCCUCUAAGCUUCAGUUCCAAAUUGACCGUACUGCAAACCGACACAGGUGGGUAGGGUGAGAAUCCUAAGGCGCUUGAGAGAACUCAGGAGAAGGAACUCGGCAAAUUGACACCGUAACUUCGGGACGAAGGUGUGCCCUUGUAGGGUGAAGUCCCUUGCGGAUGGAGCUCGAAAGGGUUGCAGUGAAAAGGUGGCUGCGACUGUUUAUUAAAAACACAGCACUCUGCAAACACGAAAGUGGACGUAUAGGGUGUGACGCCUGC